rnacentral:rRNA from 1 species
UAGGGAAUCUUCGGCAAUGGACGAAAGUCUGACCGAGCAACGCCGCGUGAGUGAAGAAGGUUUUCGGAUCGUAAAACUCUGUUGGUAGAGAAGAACGUUGGUGAGAGUGGAAAGCUUAUCAAGUGACGGUAACUACCCAGAAAGGGACGGCUAACUACGUGCCAG